AUGAAAUUAUUUUGUACUUUUUCUGUAGGUGAUUCGGUAACCCAAACACAAGCAAGGCAAGCAGUAACGUCCGAUGACCCUGCAUAUGUGUACUGUUUUGCCCUAGAUGUGAACAAGAAGUACCAUUUGCAGUGCAAUUUUUGUGACAAGCUAUUGAAAGGUGGAAUUACUAGAAUGAAGUACCAUCUUGCUUGCAUUACUGGCUUCAAUGUUGUUAAAUGUAAGAAGGUUCCAGCUGAUGUGAAGGAAGAGAUUAUUGCUUUUCUUACGAAGAAGAGUGGUGACAAGCAAAAGAAGAAGGAUGAAGUGCAAAGGGUUCGAUCUGCAAUUAAUAUAGAGAACUCAGAUGAUGAAAGGGGUAGUGGGGACGAUUCUGACUUUGAGAGGAAUGAUGUUGUGUUGCUGAAGUCAACAAGAGGUAGUGGGACGAGUAACUCUAGAGCUGUGGUAGGUAGUGGCAGUGCCACUAUUGAUAAGUUUUACAAGAAAACAUCUAUAGAAGAGUCUGUUCGCAAUAAUCAAAGGGGAUUCAACGUUAGCCAGAAGGUCCAAUCAAAGGUUUCAACUAUGAAAAGAGAAGAGAAAAGGGACAGAUUUUGUGAGUAUAUUUGCCAGUUUUUCUAUGAAGCUAGCAUUCCUCACAACACUGUCACCCUCCCUAGCUUUGCUCAUAUGCUUGAGUCUAUCGGACAGUUUGGCAAGGACUUGAGAGGGCCUAGUCCAUAUGAGAUGAGGGGACAAUUUUUGCAGAAGAGGAAACAUAAGGUGCUGGAUGGAUUCAAGUAUCAUAAGGAAUCAUGGGAGCUCACAGGUUGCACGGUUAUGACUGAUGCAUGGACAGAUAGGAAGGGCAUGGGAGUAAUGAAUUUAGUUGUGCACAGUGCUCAUGGUGUUUGCUUCAUUGAUUCGGUGGACUGCUCCAGUGACAGAAAAGAUGGCAAAUACAUAUUUGACUUGGUGGACAAAUGCAUAGAAGAUAUAGGUGAAGAAAAUGUUGUGCAAGUGGUGACUGAUAAUGCUAGUGUGAAUGUAUCAGCAGCUAGUAUGCUAACAGCAAAGAGACCAUCCAUAUUUUGGAAUGGAUGUGCUAUUGAUCACUGCCUAGAUCUCAUGUUGGAGGAUCAUGGGAAGCUUGGACCAGUUGCAAAAACUAUUUCAAGUGCAAGAGAAGUGACUAGCUUCUUGUAUGCUCAUACAAGGGUAUUGGAUUUGAUGAGGAAAUUUCUUGGGAAGGGCUUGGUUCGCUCUGGUGUUACUCGGUUUGCCACUGCUUACUUAAAUCUGAAAAGUUUGCUAGACAACAAGAAGGAGUUGACAAGGCUCUUCACAUUAGAUGAGAUGAAUGAACUAGGUAUACUUGACAAAGGCAAAGGGGGGAAAACACUCAAAGUGGUGCGAUAUGAAGUUUUUUGGAAACAUGUUGACAUGGCUGUUAAUUUCUUUGAGCUAAUGGCUAAUGUGCUUCGCAGAAUGGACAGUGAUGUUCCUACAAUGGGAUUCUUCCAUGGAUUAAUGCUUGAGGCAAAGAAACAUAUUGCUGUGAAGUUUGAUAAUGAUGAGAGCAAGUACAAAGUUGCUUGGGACAUCAUUGAUAAAAGGUGGGACAGCAAGCUCAAGACUCCUCUCCAUUUGGCUGGCUACUAUUUGAAUCCUCACUAUUAUUACCCAAACAAGUCAGAGAUUGAGCAUGAUGGAUCAUUUAGAGCUGCUGUUAUUACAUGCAUCUGCAAGAUGAUUGAGGACGAAGAAACCCAAGACAUUGUAAUUGAAGAACUCAACAUGUAUCAAGAUCAGCAAGGAUCUUUCGGCCAUGAGAUUGCUAUAAGGCAAAGGAGAAACAAGAAUUUUAAUCCAGCAAAAUGGUGGCUGAACCAUGGCACCAGCACACCAAAGUUGAGAACUUUGGCAUCUAGGAUUCUUAAUAUGACAUGUAGCUCAUCAGCUUGUGAGAGGAACUGGUCAACUUUCCAAGAGGUUCAUACAAAGAAGCGCAAUAGGCUACUGCAUGACAGGAUGAGGGAUCUUGUGUUUGUGAAAUUCAACUCUAAACUAAGGAACAAGAGAGAGAACAAAAAUAGAGAUCCCAUAGAGAAAGAAGUAGAUGAUAUUCUUGCUGAUUAUGACAAUGAGUUCAUCACUGGGAAAGAACCAACUGCAGAAGCUGAGGAAGAACAAGAGAAAGCUCAUGAAGAUGCAUCGGAAGAGGCACCAAACAGGGGACAAGCCAAAAGGAAGAGGAGUUCUCGGCCUAGGAAGAAAAUCAAGACUGUGAGCCUGCAGUCCUUGAUGGCUAUGCGUGUUGAAACAAUGCCGCAAGCUUCUUCUUCUUCUUCUGAAUCGGAGUCUGAUAAGUCUCCUUCAAAUUUUGGAGAAGAAUAG
rnacentral:rRNA from 1 species